AUCAGGUGGUGGCGAGCGCGUGGACAGGGUGAAAGUUGUGAGGGUUAGCGACAGAUCUGCGUAUUCACCUUGCUGGUCACCGGCCACCACCACCUCGGAGCCAAUGAAUUUUCUGUCGCGAGCCCCGCUAACGGGCUUGCCGCUGAGAACUCUGGGAAAUGUAGUUAGGCGCGAGUAAGCUGUCGUUAGUUGCAGGUCUGAGGCGGGAACCGGGGCUCCUCAUGUGUUCGCGGCUCGGUUCAGCCUUCCACGAGCUCCUGAAGUUCUGCCAUUCCCCGUGGUCUGCAGUUCAGGAAGCUUCUGGAACAUGCGGCGCCUCUGCCAUGGAAACAAUAUCCGCGUCAUCAGCUUCAGAUGUGUUCUUGGAACACUGAGUUCGCCUUGGCAGCUGUCCGAAAGUUAAUCCUGUGAAGGGACCUGAAGCAGCCCUCUGAGGAAGUCUCGCGCACCCCUGCCGAAGAACAUCGCAGUGUGUUCAUUCCCCUUCCGUUGGCCUCGGGAUCCAAGCAGGAAAGAAGAGGGAAGAACUCUGAAGGACAUGAGAGGGACCCAGCUUACAGUCCAGGAAAGGCAGCCCCUCCUCUCAGCAGGUGUGUGAGCUGAAGGGACCCAAGGAACUAACCAGAGAGGACCAGUGGGCAACCGUCAGUCUGGAUUCCCAGCCCCCGCAUAGAUUUGUGGCCAGCCUGGUGUGGAAGGAAGCUGGAAGCCACCUGAAUAGUGGUUCGUUGCCAGCAUCAACCGGCUCACAUUACAGUAGCCUGGCUCCUUCCUAGACAAUAUUUGAAAGUGUCUUUUGCAUUC
ensembl:lincRNA 4933404O12Rik RIKEN cDNA 4933404O12 gene